GGCCUGCCUCCCUUGGGGCUGUGGGGGUCCCUCUCCUCCCAGCCAGGGCUGGAGGCCGAGAGCAGCCUGCUGAGGCCAUCGUCGGGACUGCGCGAGCUGGGCAGCCCCCUUUUCCUACCUCACACAUCU
ensembl:snoRNA